rnacentral:rRNA from 1 species
GACGUUACGACCUAACGGCUAACGGGCGACGGGACUACCGAGGAGCGUUCAUGACGUGGGGUG